rnacentral:rRNA from 1 species
GUGCAGCAGUCGCGAAACCUCCGCAAUACACGAAAGUGUGACGGGGUCAUCCCGAGUGCCGUCCGCUGAGGACGGCUUUUCCCCAGUGUACACAGCUGGGGGAAUAAGGAGAGGGCAAGCCUGGUGUCAGCCGCCGCGGUAAUACCAGCUCUCCGAGUGGUGGGGACGCUUAUUGGGCCUAAAGCAUCCGUAGCCGGCUGGGCAAGUCCUCCGUUAAAUCCAACGAUUCAAUCGUUGGGCUGCGGGGGAUACUGUCCAGCUUGGGGGCGGGAGAGGCCGACGGUAUUCCCGGGGUAGGGGUGAAAUCCUAUAAUCCCGGGAGGACCACCAGUGGCGAAGGCUGUCGGCUAGAACGCGCCCGACGGUGAGGGAUGAAAGCUGGGGGAGCGAACCGGAUUAGAUACCCGCGUAGU